AUUGAACGCUGGCGGCAUGCUUAAUACAUGCAAGUCGUGGGGCAGCAUGAAUGUAGCAAUACAUUUGAUGGCGACCGGCAAACGGGUGCGGAACACGUACACAACCUUCCUAUAAGUGGGGAAUAGCCCCGAGAAAUUUGGAUUAAUACCCCGUAACAUAACGAUGUGGCAUCACAUUGUUAUUAUAGCUUCGGCGCUUAUUAAUGGGUGUGCGGCUGAUUAGAUAGUAGGCGGGGUAACGGCCUACCAAGUCUACGAUCAGUAGCUGAUGUGAGAGCAUGAUCAGCCACACGGGCACUGAGACACGGGCCCGACUCCUACGGGAGGCAGCAGUAAGGAAUAUUGGUCAAUGGACGCAAGUCUGAACCAGCCAUGCUGCGUGAAGGAUUAAGGUCCUCUGGAUUGUAAACUUCUUUUAUCUGGGACGAAAAAAGGCUUUUCUAAGUCACUUGACGGUACCAGAUGAAUAAGCACCGGCUAACUCCGUGCCAGCAGCCGCAGUAACAC
rnacentral:rRNA from 1 species